AGAGUUUGAUCAUGGCUCAGAUUGAACGCUGGCGGCAGGCUUAACACAUGCAAGUCGAGCGGUAACAGAGAUAGCUUGCUAUCUGCUGACGAGCGGCGGACGGGUGAGUAACGCGUAGGAAUUUACCCAGUAGUGGGGGAUAGCCCGGAGAAAUUCGGAUUAAUACCGCAUACGCCCGCAUAACGUCUACGGACCAAAGGGGGGGAUCUUCGGACCUCUCGCCAUUUGAUUAGCCCAAGUGAGAUUAGCAAGUUGGUGAGGUAAAGACUCACCAAGGCGACGAUCUCUAGCUGGUUUGAGAGGAUGAUCAGCCACACUGGGACUGAGACACAGUCCAGACUCCUACGGGAGGCAGCAGUGGGGAAUAUUGCACAAUGGGCGAAAGCCUGAUGCAGCCAUGCCGCGUGUGUGAAGAAGGCUCUAGGGUUGUAAAGCACUUUAAGCUGGGAGGAAGGCCUAACGGUUAAUACCCGCUAGGAUUGACGUUACCAGCAGAAUAAGCACCGGCUAACUCCGUGCCAGCAGCCGCGGUAAUAAGGAGGGUGCAAGCGUUAAUCGGAAUUACUGGGCGUAAAGCGCGCGUAGGUGGUUGAUUAAGUUGGAUGUGAAAGCCCAGGGCUUAACCUUGGAACUGCAUCCGAUACUGGUCGGCUAGAGUACGGUAGAGGGAAGUGGAAUUUCCGGUGUAGCGGUGAAAUGCGUAGAGAUCUGAAGGAAUACCGGUGGCGAAGGCGGCCCCCUGGAUUGAUACUGACACUGAGGUGCGAAAGCGUGGGUAGCAAACAGGAUUAGAUACCCUGGUAGUCCACGCCGUAAACGAUGUCUACGCCGUUGGGAGGUAUAACCUUUUAGUGGCGCAGCUAACGCGAUAAGUUGACCGCCUGGGGAGUACGGCCGCAAGGCUAAAACUCAAAUGAAUUGACGGGGGCCCGCACAAGCGGUGGAGCAUGUGGUUUAAUUCGAUGCAACGCGAAGAACCUUACCAAGACUUGACAUCCUGAUAACUUUCUAGAAAUAGAUUGGUGCCUUCGGGAGAUCAGUGACAGGUGCUGCAUGGCUGUCGUCAGCUCGUGUCGUGAGAUGUUGGGUUAAGUCCCGUAACGAGCGCAACCCUUAUCCUUAUUUGCCAGCACUUCGGGUGGGAACUUUAAGGAGACUGCCGGUGACAAACCGGAGGAAGGUGGGGACGACGUCAAGUCAUCAUGGCCCUUACGUCUUGGGCUACACACGUGCUACAAUGGGGAGUACAGAGGGCUGCGAAGCCGCGAGGCGGAGCGAAUCUCAGAAAACCGGUCGUAGUCCGGAUUGGAGUCUGCAACUCGACUCCAUGAAGUCGGAAUCGCUAGUAAUCGCGAAUCAGAAUGUCGCGGUGAAUACGUUCCCGGGCCUUGUACACACCGCCCGUCACACCAUGGGAGUGGAUUGCACCAGAAGUAGGUAGCUUAACCUUCGGGGGGGCGCUUACCACGGUGUGAUUCAUGACUGGGGUGAAGUCGUAACAAGGUA
rnacentral:rRNA from 1 species